GGUAGAAGAGCGGCUCGAGUGACCAUAAAUCGGCUUUCGAUUACAUCAGAUAAUUCGCCCUACCUCUCUUUUUACCGCGGCCACCACUGUUCUCGAUGCAUCUACCUGCUGUGUGUGAACGCGCGUACGCUCGUCGUCGUCGCUUUUGAUCAGAGAUUUAAAGACGCGGGUCCGAGCGAAAGGAGGAAGAAGGAGGCGUAGUGGACGAAAGAAACGGGAACAGACCGAUUCUUCUCAUCGUGGACUCUAAAAAGCCCACUACGACGAUGAGAGCACUGAGAACGGCACUCGGUCCGACGUCGGACAACCUACUUAAAUGCACCUACCCGGUGCAUCAGAAGUCAAUGAGCGCCUCGCCGCGACUUCUUUCGCGUUUAGCGUUUAAACCGAGGUCCGCCGUGAAAACGGUGUUUUUCCUUAUUCGCGUUUUCUGGUACUGACCAUGUAUGAUCUGGCUCCGACCGUUGGACCUAUAGAACUCGGAAUAUAUGUCGAUUAGAUGAAAACCUUUGUCGCUAGAAAUGUACGCGUGCAGGCAAGCUAUCAUGAAUGGAAUCGUUGAGUACACGUACGCUUUGAAGCGACUUUUAAGUAUGUUUUACGUGUGUACAUGUGCUUGUGAGUACCUAACUGAGUAAGUCGAUCGAGCGAAAACUUGGAACGGAAUGACGUCAGCGCGCGCCAACCGAGGCAUCGUCGACUUUAUCUUUAUCUGUUCUCUUUCUACCUAAUCGUUUAUCGUCCGAAAGAAGGACCGGAGCGCGAGAUACAAGACUACGUGUUCCGGCCGUCGAAUCAUCGUUCGAUCAUUAUUUGCUCUUAAUCAGUUUACUUUCAAUGGUACCGAUGCAUCAUUGCAUGCUUUCCGUCGGAAAAUUCUGCACCGGAUUCGUUCGCGGUAUCUCUCUGAAAGAAAAAUACUUUCGCGCGGCCUUUAUAUCGAUCGUACGUCGUCGCGUCCUACACCUGGCGAUAACGCGUUAUCUUUCUCGCGUCUCCUUGGAGAAAGAUAAGAUGCAACUCCUUAGAUACUGACGAUCAUCAUGCAUUUAUAUUUGUACAAGCAUUUAGAAUUGGUCCGUGGUUUUAAGGAAAGUACGCCCGAUCGCGGUUACGAUCAGGAUGAGAGAUAAAUCGGAGCUCGCGGAGGAGGAACGCAGUCACGUCUCUGUAUUGCAUAGAAACGUCGUACAGAAUGUUGAUCGGUAUAUGAAUAACGCGCGAACGUUUAAGCUCGAGCGCAUCGACGAGCCUACGUGACUACAUCGCGGAGGACGUUCUCCCAUUGAUAUUUCGAAUGCGCGCACAGUCAUAAGUACACCCGGCAAAUGUUAAUCGAAUUAACGACAAUUAUGCGCCGCCUCGAACAAAUCGGAUCUGUGAGGCGUUGAUACGCGAACGAUCAUCGUUCUCAACGCGACAUGUUCAUAUCUUUCGUCGUAUCUGUGAAAUCCGACGAUCGUCCGUAUCGAUGAUCGCAGUCGGCUUCCUCUUCUUCGGGCUACCCUGCGCCUUCGCGUCGUACGACGUUCGCGUUCCAGAUUCGUUCGAAACCGAGGGGAUUUUAAGUCACGGUGGUGUACGUUACGUCGAACCGUACCAUGUGUCGACCGUAUGAGAAAACUGGUCGACGCGCGAUGCGACGACGAAGCGUCUGCAGAUUUUGUGGCCUCCUCGAGCGGAGCAGCUUCUGCUUUCUCUUCUUGCUUCCUCCGUGUCGGUCGGACCCUCUUCCACGUGUGUACACGUACGUACAACAUGUGCUCGAAAGUCGGCAAAGAUCGUCUUAAGCCCCGCUGACGCCAAUUACGUGUUCGUAUCUCUGUUGCUCUUUCGUCUUUGCUUUCGAUCGACCUCGCGAGCGACCGUACAUGUGUACACCAGAAGUCUUUCUGAACGUGCAGAAAUUUACGCGAUACAGCAUCCUUUAAUUAUUCCUCGACGAGAAACGAGCAGGAAAGACUGCGAACGACUGCGUCCUUUUACACGGGGCAAUGCGUAACGGGAUGGACAUCGAAGAAGACCAGUGGCAUCGUCGUUAUAUAUACGUGCAUAGCACGCUGGUGAACGUCAAGAGUAUUCGACGGCGUUAGCUGUUAGAAACGCUUACGUUCGUGUUCUCGAGCCCUUCGUCCCGUCCGGCAAAGUGGUCGGGUGUCGAGUGUCGGGGCCCGUAGUGGGAAAACCGCUCUGGAGGGGAUACAGAACACAGUCUCAGGUCUCAGCUCAGUCAGUUCUCCUCGCUCUUCUCGUCGUUCUCGACUCGACCACUCGUCGUCGUCGUCGUCGUCGUUGUAGUCGUAGUCGUCGUCGUGCGUCCUCAGUUCCAGAUGCACCUUCGCCAAGUUCGCGUCGUUCCUUCCCUGCGUUCCGAAUAAGGAACGACUUUGCGAGUACCGUGAGUAAAGAGUGAUCGGCCGCGCGGGGUUCUCUUGUUCGAGAGAUGAGAGAUUCCACGUCGAAGUGAUCGGUGUCGUACGAAAGCUGGAAAACCAGUGAUAACUAGUAGGAACGGGGGAUCGACUACCGAUGCGUCUGGACGACACCUCGACGGUUCGUUUCACCGUGGAUACGUCUCGAAGCGGUUUCGAUUCGACGUCCAAGUAUGCGAGCGUGUCCCUGGAUCGGGCAUCUUCUCGAGGAAACGCGCGAGCGUGUGGACGCAACAAGUGGUCGCCGUCGGAGGCUGAGUCGAAUCCUGGCUCGAAUCUCUCGUGCCACGUUCGACUCCUACGUCGUCGGAGCAUCAUCCGCGGUGUAACCUUAGCUCCGAAGGAGUCGCGGAACGAGAGGGGGGAGGCUAGAACUCGUGAACGUGGACGACGAAGUGGCUCGAGGUCGAGCAUCUCUUCGAAUUCUCGUGUCACACGUUGCGCGAAGUCGAUCGCUCCCCGUCGUGUAACCUCGGCCUCGAGAAAGUUUGGGAAAAAGGAUAUUUUUCCCUGUAUUCCGGUUAAACUUGAAAUCUAACGUUAAUUGGACGACACGUGAAAGUGGCACGAGAGCUGGCUGCUCUUCUCCGUACCAUUUUAUCCAAGUUUGUUCGUAUUCGUACGAAGGUGGAAACGAGUUACGUCGAUUGUGCCUGUGAUACGCGUUUGUUUCUCGGGCAUGGGAUUCCGAUCGAUCGCGAGAUCGCGUUGUCCGCGUAGAUCGAGUGCAACGGUGCAGGCCACUUUGGUGCGUGAAUGACCCGCCCUCACCGAUCGAACCAUGAUCGUCGACGAUAUCGACGAUGCGUCAAUCGUUAGACGAAUUCUCGCGUUUAGGAGAACAACGAUCUAGUUUUAAUUUCGAUCCGACUGGAAAGUAAAGUGCGACGCGCGACCAUGAUGAAGUUCAAAUCGCUGUUUCGCAGAGGCCAACAGAAUCAGCAGCAGCAGCAGCAGCAGCAGCAGCAGCAGCAGCAGCAGCAGCAGCAGCAGCAGCAACAGCAGCAGCAACCACCGACGCAGCAGCAACAGAAUUCGCUGCGUCCGGCGCCGAGCGUCUCCUCCCUGGAGGCGAAGAACGAGAAUCCGGCCGCGGGUAACUGGGACUCGAAGGGGGCCAAGGGGAACGCGAAGGCGGGCUACAAUCCCAAGGGACCCGUCAAGGGGUCCAGGAUGCAGGAACUCGAGCGUGAGAUCGACGUAUUACGCAAGGAACGCGCCCGGCUCGAGUCGAAUCUCCGCGAGGCCUCCUGUGACGCUCAGAGACUACGGGAGCUACGCACCGAACUCGCUUCCCUCAAGGAACAGCACAGCUUGGAGUUGGAACGUCUCGCGGAAGAGAACGAAGCUCUUCGGGCAAGACUCAGGGACGUGGCUCAUUCCCCUCUGUCCGAUACGGAGAAGCAACAGCUGCUUCUGGACGCCUCGAGGCUGCACAACUCCGCACCGGCGUCGAUAGCGAUUCCCCAAGAUGAAGGUUCCACGACCGUGGCGAACGUGCCCCAGGACAGUGCUCAGUGCACCACUCCUGAUUGGGACAAACGCUCUUCCAGCUCCGAAGUUUCCGUCGCCUGCCUGCAGGACAGGAUUUUACAAAUGGAGGAGACGCACUAUUCGACGAACGAGGAGUUGCAGGCAACGAUUCAAGAACUGAGCGAUUUGCAAGCGCAGCUUACGGAGUUGCAAGCCGACAACGAGAGAUUAACAGAGGAGAAGGACGUGCUUCUGGAGUCGCUGUGCAGGCAAACGGAGAAACUGGAGGACUCCCGGUCCAAGGUCGACACGCUACAGGGUCUGUUGCUGAGGGAGGAGCAACCUCAGGAAUCGUCCAAGGGAUACAACACGGAGCGGGAGCAGAAAUUAGUAGACCUUUUGAAGAGUGCUCAAGAAGAACGGGAAUCGCUGCUGCAAAAACAGGAGGAGUUGACGUCCGAGGUGAAGAACCUUCGAGCGGCCGCGGAGAUCAGCGCAGCGGAGACCGAACGGUUGACCAAGUGCGUGCACGUGCUCGAGUCUUCGCUGGAGACGGCCAACAUCGAGCGGAGACAGUUGGACGUUGAGUUAGCGGAGGCUAGACAGGAUGGUGCGAAUCGAAACAUAGAGAUCAGCAGGUUGGCCACGCUUUUGGAGAAUGCCCGAGCCAAGAUCGAGGAACUGGAGCAGUCGAGGCAGGUGGAGAACAAGAGCGAGGCGGACGAACUUCUGGACGCGGCCAGACGGGAGAAGGAUACUUUGGAAACGCAGGCGGCAGCGCUGCAGGAGCAGCUGGCGCGCUCUCAUUGCGACCAUGAUCGUCUCAGGGAUCAGUACUCGCAGCUUCAGGAAGAAUACAAGGUAGCACGCAAUAAUGCCAAGUCGGCGAUCGACGACCUGGAAUACAGACUGGACCAAUUGAAGGACGAGAGAUUGUCCGUGAGCACGGAGCUGCAAUUGGUGAGGGAUUCCCUGGCAGAAUUGCAGGCGCAGUGUCAGAGGCAUCUGGAAGACAAGAGGGAGUUGAAAGCAGCGUUGAACGAGGCCCAGAGACGGGAACGCGAGGCUCAGUCCCGUCAGUACGAGUUGGAGCGUUCUCUCGCCGAGGAGCGUAAACUGAGACAGGAGGAGGUCGCCGAGUGGGAACAAUUUCAGACGGAUCUCUUGAUGACCGUUCGGGUCGCGAACGAUUUCAAGACAGAGGCUCAGACCGAGUUGGAGCGCGUCGUCAUGGAAAAUAAGGCGCAGAGGGACAAGUUGAGAGCGUUGGAGGCGCAGCUCGACAAACUGAACAAAGGCAGCACCGCAGUUCCUCAAUGUAAGUGUUUCGGUAGCACUGCUGGAAAUUCUCGCAAACCUGCGAGCUGUAUUUUGAAACGCGGCCGUACCAUCGUAAAAAGACGGCACGAUCCCAAAAAAAGCGCUUCGACACCGGGUUCGUUUAACAAUGAGAUGAUAACGACCGAACUCCGUGGUGCGAGUAACGCGAGAGAGAAACGUUCGGUUACUCGUCGGGAGGAUGUCGAAUCUGAUAAUUGCAACGCUGCAGCGUAUUCAAAAGAGUCCAGCUCCGAACUGGACAAGAAACUAAUUUCGAAUGAAGGAACUGACUCCACCCGUUCUUCGCUCGGAUCGAAAGAUGGAGAUUCUCAGGAUCCAUGUCUCUCGAAGGGCGAUUGCGAUCGGAAGGAAACUUCUUUCGUCGAAAGUGCGAACGAGUUUUCGAAGAUCGCCGAGGAUUACCCGAAAUUGUACAUAGUCCCAGCAUCAGUUUCGGAGACGAAGCCAGUUGGUCGGUCGACUUUAUUGAAGAACAUAAAGGGGAUUCAGAACGUUGGGACAGAUUCGUAUGGUAUCGAGAUUUCGAACAGCCGAUUUUUCGUCCCCAAAAACUAUGUGUACUCCGGCGUGGAGAACGCGAUGGACGACUUGAGAUUCGAAGUGGAUCCGGAGAUGAGAAAAGUGUUGCAGGAGAGCACCGAAACGAACUCGGUGAUUGCGGAAAACAAUGGCAGUCAGGAAAUUCGACCGUCACAGAGGAUCAGGGCGGAGUAUACGAGGGACAAAGAAAAUUCAUUGGCGUUACGAACCUCCAGAGACUCGGAGGAGGAACGCGAUCACGAUUCCUCCAUGCAGGCGAAACGUAGACUGUUUCUGAAGAAAAACGAAUCCAGAACGGGCAGUGGAAUCGUCGACUCUCUCUUGGACACCACCGGCAAGCAGAAUAUUUUCAACUCCGGAUUAAAAAAUCGAAUCUUCUCCACUUCCUUGGACAAUCUUACUCUACGAACCUGUUCGAUCGACAACGUGGACAAUAGCGAAAAUGCGAUGCCUCCUAGACCGACUCCAAGGCCGAGAAGUAUCCAGAUUGCUUCUUCUCUGUACCGAAAACCGGAAAUCUUCGACGUUUCGAAUACAAAAAGAGAAAGGGACAGAGACAGAGAGAAACAUAGUUCGAUUCUCGCUUCGGUGGAGAAUUUACCCAGAGCAACCGUGGACGCAUCGUCGGCGUCCCCCGCGUCGAAGAACACUUCGACCACGCAUUCGAAGGAAGAAGUGCGCGCAGUGGAUUCCGUUUCCAGGCGAAAGAUUGCAAACGACGCUUCGAAAUUCGACGACGAACUGCAGGAAACCAGAAGGAAUCUGACUCUUUGCGAAGCGAACAGAUUGAAACGAAUGAAAUUUUUAAACACGAACUUAUUCCAAUCCGAGGCCAGCAUAGAAUCCGACGCUAGAAACGGCCCGGUAGUCGUCGAUGAGAAGAAGAAAAGCAAUCACACGGACGUUGAACACGAUUCGCCGUCGAAGGAUAAAGAGUCUUCCAUAGGGAGGACCUCGUCUUUGAGAGAGAAAUUUGAGACGAUCGUAGAGGAUGUGGAACUGAGACCAGGCCGGCAAAUAGGUACAAUACGCGACCCUAACCAGAAGGUACCCCAACAGCCGCCACAGAGGCCGGCGAGUACACCGACGGAUACUCAGCAGUGCGUGCUGACGAGCGUGCAGCAGGAGAUAGCCGCUCGUCGGAAAGCCAACAUAUCGCGGCAGGACUCGAGGCUGUCCGUGAAGUGUCUUAUAGAAAGUAUCGAGAACGCCACGAAGCAAGCGAAAGCGGGCCCUGGGAGUCGUAGCAGUUCCACGUCCUCUCUCAAUUCCAUCGGAACGAACGAUAUAAUGACGUUGAAGGCUCCGCUCCGGGACCAGCAGCAGAUCAAUAAUCUCAUAUGCACGGCGAACACCACGAACAAUAACAAAACUCAAACUACGAUCGCUAGGAAGCCGUUGUCAGAUACAAAGACUACGGUGCCCGUGGUGUUGAAUCCUGGCGAGCUGCUGGACUCCGCCGCGUUGAACGCCAAGGCCAUCGACUUCGUGCGCCGGAACAGCGUGACCGACUUGUCGGAACGAAAGGACCCUCUCCUCGGGCUGAUCAAGAACGGCGGGUCGAAACGCAACGCGUUGCUGAAAUGGUGUCAGAACAAAACGAUUGGCUAUCGGAAUAUCGACAUCACGAAUUUCAGUAGCUCGUGGAACGACGGAUUGGCGCUCUGCGCCAUACUCCAUUCCUAUCUCCCUCACAAGGUACCCUACGACACGUUGACGCCCGUGGAGAAGAGGAGAAACUUCUCCAUCGCUUUCUCCGCCGCCGAGAGCGUUGGCAUACCUACCACCCUGAACAUAGGGGAGAUGUGUCAACUGGAGCGGCCCGACUGGCAACAGGUAAUGACGUACGUGACCAGUAUUUACAAGCACUUCGAAACAUAGUUUAUUGGUUCUGGCAUCGCCGUGGCGGGUCCCCGAGGCUCUCCUACCGAGAGUGAAUCAAGAACAAGAUCGUCUAGUCAAGCAGAAACUAUCCAACGAACAGAUACUAUAGGGAAAAUAUUCUGUCCGAGGGCGUUUGAUCUUUUUGGAUUUUCAAGGAUCGCUGGAUUCAUAGCACUGCCUGUACGUGCGUCUAUGCCUAAUAAUGUACGAUCGCGAAACUCUCUAGGACACUAAGCAGCCUAACACCAAAUGGAAUUGCUUCUUUCUUUCACUAUGAGACUGAACGUUUUUAUGUAUAUAUAAAAAUAUAUAUACGCGGGCACACGUUCGUGCGCGCGCGUUACUACAAGAACCAGAUGCAAAGAAAUAGAAGCAGUCGUUUGUAGAGAAACGAAUACGCAGACGGAGACGCAGGAAAUGAAUGCAAGUUUUUACGUCGAGUUUUCUUAUGCGUGUGCAUCUUUAUCAGUGCCUCCUUGAAAAGCCAACGCAUCAUCAUUUUACGACACUGAAAUGCGAGAAGAAUUUUUUCUCUAUCGAUCGACGUCGUGAAGCUUCACAUCUCUCGCAACUACGAACUAACCGAAGUGUCGAGAUAUAUUUCCGUUCCUCUCGUACCACAAUACGCUGUCUGACAUAAAACAAUAAACUUGCCUAAUGACUACUUAUGGGAUCGGCGUACGAAGAACGAGAACCCAGAAGUAAGAAACGGGUUUAAUGAUC